CACUCGAGACUGACCAUGGGCGCUCUCAGAUGUAACAGCAACUCCAUGUGGACUACACUGACUUCCAGUGGAGAUGCUGUUACUUUUGAUAGCCUCUCAAAAACUCCGGAGCAGCU
rnacentral:pre_miRNA from 10 species